rnacentral:rRNA from 1 species
UACGAAGGGUGCAAGCGUUACUCGGAAUUACUGGGCGUAAAGCGUGCGUAGGUGGUUCGUUAAGUCUGAUGUGAAAGCCCUGGGCUCAACCUGGGAAUGGCAUUGGAAACUGGCGAUCUAGAGUGCGGUAGAGGGUAGUGGAAUUCCCGGUGUAGCAGUGAAAUGCGUAGAGAUCGGGAGGAACAUCUGUGGCGAAGGCGACACCCUGGACCAGCACUGACACUGAGGCACGAAAGCGUGGGGAGCAAACAGG